rnacentral:rRNA from 1 species
UACGAAGGGUGCAAGCGUUACUCGGAAUUACUGGGCGUAAAGCGUGCGUAGGUGGUUCGUUAAGUCUGUCGUGAAAGCCCCGGGCUCAACCUGGGAAUGGCGAUGGAUACUGGCGGGCUAGAGUGCGGUAGAGGAGAGUGGAAUUCCCGGUGUAGCAGUGAAAUGCGUAGAGAUCGGGAGGAACAUCAGUUGCGAAGGCGGCUCUCUGGACCAGCACUGACACUGAGGCACGGAAAGCGUGGGGAGCCAAACAGG